GACGCGUUCGCCGUUAGCGUCAACCACCGCCUCGACUAAUGACAAAGCCUGGUCGUCGUCCAGCGUACCGAGCAUGGCGCUUACCGCCUGCGUCGAAACCUGCCCGUCGCCGCUGGCGAUCGCCUGGUCAGUCAGACUUAAUGCAUCGCGCAGGCUGCCGUCAGCCGCACGCGAUAACAACUGCAACGCGCGGGGUUCGUGAGCGAUAUGUUCCUCAUUGAGAAUAUGCUCAAGCUGAUGGCGAAUCUGUUCAACAUCCAGCGCUUUGAGAUGAAACUGUAGGCAGCGCGACAAAAUGGUCACCGGCAGCUUCUGCGGAUCGGUGGUCGCCAGUAAAAAUUUCACAUGCGCUGGCGGUUCUUCAAGCGUUUUAAGUAGCGCAUUAAAGCUGUGGCGCGACAGCAUGUGGACUUCAUCGAUC
rnacentral:misc_RNA from 1 species